GCUUUUCUGUUUUUUUUUUUUAAUUACCCUCUGAUGGAGUUUAUACAUAUUACCUUCUGAUGGGAUUUAUACAGAUAUCUCCGAAAGAUAAUAAAAAUAAAUUACAUCAUUCGGGUGGGGUGUUUAUUCUUUGCUUUUGCAGUGUUUUUCUGCUGCCCUCUUCCUGUAUCUUCACCUGGUAGACAGAAGGAAUCAUAAUGAUAUGAAAAUCUUUGAUUUUCUUCUUUUCUCUUUUCCUUUUCCUUUUCACUUUUGCUUUGCACCUCUGUCUUUGCUUUUCUCCAGACAUCAUUGUUUUUCUCUUUGUCUUUGUCUCGGCAUGGGUCAGGCAAAUUAUUGAAACAAAUGGGAAAUUAUAAUCUUUCCCUUGAAGCUCCGUGUUGUUAUGCCGCCCCGUCACCUGCUUCAUGUACUUCUUCUUCUUCGCCUGGUCAAUCCGUUUUCCUGAGUUAGAAAACACUAAAGUCGGCGAGUUGGAAGUCAGAGACGACUGGCGAGUUGGAAGUCAGAGACGACGUGGAAGUCAGAGACGACGAAUUGGAAAGCACCAAAGCCGACGCUGACGCAAUGGAAGAUGGAGACGGCGAUGACGAUGGCUCGGCCAGAGGGUUUUGGCUCGGCUGUGCAGAUGAAAGAUGGUAGUGCAGAGCCCGUUUGUGAUGGCUGGUAGUGCAAAGCACAUUCCUCGAGGCUGGAUCUUAACGACGUCGUCACAGGGAGUGAAAUGAGGCUGCAGAGGCUUUAAGAAGCGUGAUUCUAGAGAGAUAAACAGAAGCGUUGCCGAAGAUCAAGGUUGAGUGUACGAAGAUUCAUCUUCAUUUUCACCGACUACGACGGCAAGAUCCAUUCUACCUUUCACACCAAAAUCGAGAGUUCGAUUCUCAUACUCUUCUUCUCACAUUUUCGUAAAAAUCAGCAUAUCUUCCACUGUGCUCAUUAAGCCCAUGUAUGAUGAUCAAAAUACCCAUUAGAGUACCAGAGACCGAGAACCAUGAGUGGCAGAAGAGGGCGUUGUUGCGACCACCAAAGAACAAGAACGUGGCGGAGUGGUACCAGCAGUGGGCGUCGUCGGUGUGAUACCCCUCAGCUAAUGUUCUGCACCUGAAGUUGUCCUCCUCCUCUUCCUCCUACCCCGCCGUCGCCGUAGCAGGAUCUCAGAGUCACUGCUCGAUGCGUCGUCAUCGAAGAAGCAAAAGUCAGCUUUAAAGAGAGGAAGAAGGUGUGGAUGAAGAUGAGGAAGACUCUUAAGGUUUUGAGGAUCGGGAUUAUACGGUUGCUGGUUUUGGAGGUCAGCUGCUCCAUCUCUGCCGUCGACAUGGCCAAGGAAUCGACGGUGAAGAUCGAGAGAGGGAGGAGAAGGGAAUUAAACUAUCUGGGAAUCCGAUUCGGGAGAAGAAACGCAGAGGGUGGAAAAAAAAAGGAAACCAAAUGAAAAAAAGGGGGAAGGCGUGAAUUCAGAGGCAGAGAGAGAGAGUCCUCUCGGAUGUGAUGAUGAGCUCUGUAUCUGUGUCUCUGUGUGUGGGUUUUACAGAUUAAUGGCGAAGGUGAAAAAUUGAUAGAAAACCAACAUAACUUUUCGUGUUGAUUCCCACAGAUGACGUCAAAUGUUGAUGCACAAAACCGGAGGUCUUGGAACAACGUAAAUCCGAUCGUGAAUCUGCAAGAAAUGUAAAUAACACAAUAUGUAUCAUUCACCCCAAGAUUUGGGCUACAUUCAUACUGAAUAUGUAUUUAUCUGAGAGGUGAGGGAGAGAACCUCUGAAUAUGAGAGGGGAUGUGAGAGGGGUGAGAAGGCUCCAGAAUUGGCCUUAGGAAUUGGCCUUAGGAAUUGGCCCUCCCAAUUGUGAGGGUGAAGGAUCCUUUUAUAGAAUAAGGACUCCUCACUUAUUACAUAUUUGCCCCUUCAUCUAUUACAUAAUUACAUUUAAGUUCUCCCGAGUAUUUAUACGAGGUCUAAAUACGAAGCCCUAAAUAUGGUAUAAACAGCAUUCAUAAUCU